UACGGAGGGUGCAAGCGUUGUCCGGAAUCACUGGGCGUAAAGGGCGCGUAGGCGGCUCAUGAAGGCUGUGGUGAAAGUCCGGGGCUCAACCUCGGAUCGGCCGUGGCGACUCGUGGGCUGGAGCACUGUAGAGGCGGGUGGAAUUCCGGGUGUAGGCGGAUGGAAUGCGUAGAGAUCCGGAAGAACACCAGUGGCGAAGGCGGCCCGCUGGGCAGUGGCUGACGCUGAGGCGCGACAGCGUGGGGAGCAAACAGG
rnacentral:rRNA from 1 species